GGCGGGUUCUCUCAGCGGGCACCCAGCGCAGCGAGACAAUGGACAAAGCCCUGCUGAAGCCUGCUGACCUGCUCAGACAGGCCUCGCACUGCGGCCUCUAUUUUGCUCUGUUUUAUUUCAUUCUGUCGCUAUCUUUAAGAGAGAAGACAGCAGGAUUUCUCCCAAACAGUUUUUCCCCUCAGGGUAGGGGAUGUCCGCCGGAGGGUGCAGAAGCAUAAAGACUACAAGGAAAAGAGAAAACACAACAAAACAUAACCCCCGCUUGACAGAGCUGAAGGUUCAGUCUCAAGUGUUAAUAUCUGGCCCGUCAUCACGUGUGGUCGCAAAUCAACUAAGGAAACAGACAUCCAACACAGCCCUCCCUUGGCCUCCAAAAAUCACGACAACAGAAUGUGGAGUUUACUAAAAAAUGCCUCUGUCUUUUGAUCAUCUUUAAAGAUCCUCUGUGUAGGGAAGUAAUCGGGAGGUAACACACGGGUCCAGUGAGGAAGUCUGUAUCCUGAAUGUCAGCCUGCUCUUCUCUUUUCUCCCGUUUCAAUCUGUGGAAGCAAUCUGGGAGAAAAGCAGUUUCAAAGAAAAGACUUGGCUCCUUCUACAUGACUGUAAAUGAAGCGAGGAAUUUAAUUUCCCAUAAGUGAAAAGUGUGCAGGACCAGUUCUAGGCGGGUCUCUGUACCUGAAAACAGUGACUAAGGAAUGUUUGCUUCUUCCCAGAAACCACUGGGAUGGGCGCUUGCCUUUCAUGGAGAAGGCACGUGAAGGCAGAGCCCUGCAAAACACGGUGUGUGUCUUUCGUAAAACUGCUGCCCAAACACUAAUGCCCAACACUUACGGGCAUGGUACACUUAUACUACUGUUUCUUUACUGUUAGUUUUAAAUAUCUUUUGAUUUCCUACCAUGGGACAUAAAGGCUUAGCAUUCCCAUACACUUCUCUUACUUCCUCUUGGUGCCUCAAUGGUCAUAGUGUAAUUUUAAUCAAAUCAAAAGUCAGUGUUUGUGUUAUUACAACUUUGCAAAUAUCAUUCAAUGCCAGGUCAAGUAAUGCACUGUGACUAUGCCUUCUUUUUCACAUGAUCCUUUAAAUUUCCUGGAGUUAAUCAUGUCCUCACUUUUUUCCUUCAUAUGUCUGGUUAUACAUGAACCCAUGACUAAUUUAUUCUAUAUGCUCAAACACUUCUAUUUUAUGGCCACCAAUAAAUAUCCCAUGUGCCUAAA